rnacentral:rRNA from 1 species
GAUGAACGCUAGCUACAGGCUUAACACAUGCAAGUCGAGGGGAAACGGCAUUAAGUGCUUGCACUUUUUGGACGUCGACCGGCGCACGGGUGAGUAACGCGUAUCCAACCUUCCCAUGACUAAGGGAUAACCUGCCGAAAGGCAGACUAAUACCUUAUGGUCUUCACUGACGGCAUCAGAUGUGAAGUAAAGAUUUAUCGGUUAUGGAUGGGGAUGCGUCUGAUUAGCUUGUUGGCGGGGUAACGGCCCACCAAGGCAACGAUCAGUAGGGGUUCUGAGAGGAAGGUCGCCCACAUUGGAACUGAGACACGGUCCAAACUCCUACGGGAGGCAGCAGUGAGGAAUAUUGGUCAAUGGGCGAGAGCCUGAACCAGCCAAGUAGCGUGCAGUAUGACGGCCCUAUGGGUUGUAAACUGCUUUUGUAUGGGGAUAAAGUCAAUCACGUGUGAUUGUUUGCAGGUACCAUACGAAUAAGGACCGGCUAAUUCCGUG